rnacentral:rRNA from 1 species
AUUGAACGCUGGCGGCAGGCCUAACACAUGCAAGUCGAGCGGAUGAAGGGAGCUUGCUCCUGGAUUCAGCGGCGGACGGGUGAGUAAUGCCUAAGAAUCUGCCUGGUAGUGGGGGAUAACGUCCGGAAACGGGCGCUAAUACCGCAUACGUCCUGAGGGAGAAAGUGGGGGAUCUUCGGACCUCACGCUAUCAGAUGAGCCUAGGUCGGAUUAGCUAGUUGGUGGGGUAAAGGCCUACCAAGGCGACGAUCCGUAACUGGUCUGAGAGGAUGAUCAGUCACACUGGAACUGAGACACGGUCCAGACUCCUACGGGAGGCAGCAGUGGGGAAUAUUGGACAAAGGGCGAAAGCCUGAUCCAGCCAUGCCGCGUGUGUGAAGAAGGUCUUCGGAUUGUAAAGCACUUUAAGUUGGGAGGAAGGGCAGUAAGUUAAUACCUUGCUGUUUUGACGUUACCAACAGAAUAAGCACCGGCUAACUUCGUG